rnacentral:lncRNA from 1 species
UAUGUUAUUACUUCAUCCAUCACAAUGCUUCUUUUUUAGCCAUCCAGCUUUCCUUAGCAAAUAGAUGGUGAAUCAAUGCAUAACCAAGCCAUCAUGUUUACCAAGAUCGCAUCCCAACCGAAAGUGAAAAUGCUGUGAAGGGGUGAAGAAUUCGGAAACAUUUCGUAGAGGGCAUUUGUGAAUGCAAACGCUGUGUAGAAGACAGCAAUCCACAUAACCCAUUUUAAGGACUUCAUCAACCUCCUCCUCUUCUCUAGGACCAUGCAGAUCAAGAGCAAAAUUAUACUUAGUGAUGUGAAUAAUCCUACCAUGUCAAACACCA